rnacentral:rRNA from 1 species
GGUGAACGCUGGCGGCGUGCCUAAUACAUGCAAGUCGAGCGAACAGACGAGGAGCUUGCUCCUUCGACGUUAGCGGCGGACGGGUGAGUAACACGUAGGUAACCUACCUAUAAGACUGGGAUAACUUCGGGAAACCGGAGCUAAUACCGGAUAAUAUUUCGAACCGCAUGGUUCGAUAGCGAAAGAUGGCUUUGCUAUCACUUAUAGAUGGACCUGCGCCGUAUUAGCUAGUUGGUAAGGUAACGGCUUACCAAGGCAACGAUACGUAGCCGACCUGAGAGGGUGAUCGGCCACACUGGAACUGAGACACGGUCCAGACUCCUACGGGAGGCAGCAGUAGGGAAUCUUCCGCAAUGGGCGAAAGCCUGACGGAGCAACGCCGCGUGAGUGAUGAAGGUCUUCGGAUCGUAAAACUCUGUUAUUAGGGAAGAACAAACGUGUAAGUAACUGUGCACGUCUUGACGGUACCUAAUCAGAAAGCCACGGCUAACUACGUG